UUGAUUACGUCCCUGCCCUUUGUACACACCGCCCGUCGCUGCCCGGGACUGAGCCAUUUCGAGAAACUUGGGGACCGCUGAUCCGGUUUUCCUUACGGACUGCCGUUUUGGUGGGAACCAAUUUAAUCGCAGUGGCUUGAACCGGGCAAAAGUCGUAACAAGGUAGCUGUAGGUGAACCUGCUGCUGGAUCAUUACGACUCGUG
rnacentral:rRNA from 1 species